rnacentral:misc_RNA from 1 species
CUUGCAUUUUCAUUUGUUCAAAGCAGAAGUUGCAUUUUUAACAUAAAGAGCACUUGAAAAUACACAGACAAAGAGGAACGGAACAUGGUAAGAAUAAGGUUAUGGUCACCAAUGAUUGGUCACCUUAACGUUAAACAUCUCUCUAACUCUAAAGAAGAUUACAAAGCAACUAAAAUUGCCAAAAGAAAGGACUAUACUAACAAAGACGCAUUUGCUCCCCACCGUUCAGUAUCUCAGUUUCAGGAAAACUAGUAAGUUCUAGCUUUUAUCACAUGCGAGAAUGUGAGAUUUAAACUUAUCCAGUUC